CUCGGGGGUUGGGGGGCCCUCAGCCUGGAUUGCGAGAGGGUGCAAGCCAGGCCAAGGGAUCCCAUCAGUGCAUG
rnacentral:pre_miRNA from 1 species